rnacentral:rRNA from 1 species
ACCUUGCUGCUUUGCUGGACGAGUGGCGGACGGGUGAGUAAUGUCUGGGAAACUGCCCGAUGGAGGGGGAUAACUACUGGAAACGGUAGCUAAUACCGCAUAAUGUCGCAAGACCAAAGAGGGGGACCUUCGGGCCUCUUGCCAUCGGAUGUGCCCAGAUGGGAUUAGCUUGUUGGUGAGGUAACGGCUCACCAAGGCGACGAUCCCUAGCUGGUCUGAGAGGAUGACCAGCCACACUGGAACUGAGACACGGUCCAGACUCCUACGGGAGGCAGCAGUGGGGAAUAUUGCACAAUGGGCGCAAGCCUGAUGCAGCCAUGCCGCGUGUAUGAAGAAGGCCUUCGGGUUGUAAAGUACUUUCAGCGGGGAGGAAGGGGUUAAGGUUAAUAACCUUAGCCAUUGACGUUACCCGCAGAAGAAGCACCGGCUAACUCCGUGCCAGCAGCCGCGGUAAUACGGAGGGUGCAAGCGUUAAUCGGAAUUACUGGGCGUAAAGCGCACGCAGGCGGUCUGUCAAGUCGGAUGUGAAAUCCCCGGGCUCAACCUGGGAACUGCAUUCGAAACUGGCAUGCUUGAGUCUCGUAGAGCGGGG